rnacentral:rRNA from 1 species
AACGCGAAGAACCUUACCUAGCCUUGACAUGCACUGGACCGACUCCGAAAAGGGUCUUUCCCGCAAGGGACCGGUGCACAGGUGCUGCAUGGCUGUCGUCAGCUCGUGUCGUGAGAUGUUGCGUUAAGUCGCGCAACGAGCGCAACCCCUGUCCUUAGUUGCCAUCAUUAAGUUGGGCACUCUAGGGAGACAAACCCUCUUUGAGGGUGGGAAGGUGGGGAUGACGUCAAGUCAGGAUGGCCCUUACGGCUAGGGCUGCACACGUGCUACAAUGCCCGAUACAGAGGGAAGCAAUACCGCGAGGUGGAGCGAAUCCUCAAAAUCGGGCCCAGUUCAGAUUGUAGUCUGCAACUCGACUACAUGAAGUUGGAAUCGCUAGUAAUGGCGCAUCAGCUACGGCGCCGUGAAUACGUUCCCGGGCCUUGUA